GGGGGCGACCUGGUUUCGACGUGGGUAGCAAAACCUUGAGUGCAUGCCGAGGACUGUACACCUCGUAAAAUCUACAGAAAAAAAGUAUUCGCAAAUGACGAAAACUACUCAAUGGCAAUAGCUGCUUAAACACAGCACCAUUCUUCUGACCGUGUGUGCUUAUGCGUGCGGAGUUUUAACCCUUCGGGGAGCGGACGCUCAGGAGUCAUCUACAUAAGAUCGCACCAAAAUCUGUCCGGUGUGGCGGUGCUAAAACCUUACGGAAUCGCUGAUCAUUUUCUUGGCUCGACGGGUAGUGGUUAGCUAAAUCAAAAGUGCGAGAUAAGCAUGUAGAGCUUGUGGCGGAGUGCUUACGGACGGGGGUUCGAUUCCCCCCGCCUCCACCA
rnacentral:tmRNA from 1 species